GUAAGUAAAAACUUCCAUGGAAAUUAUAAUUGAGCAUGGAUUGGGGCAUGUGAGUAGUCGAUCUUAGCUUAAAAAGGUGUUUUGAAUGCAAUAGUGAAGUUAGAUUUACAAAAAAAAUACCUUCUUGACCACUUACAAGGGCCAUCAGCCUUGAUAACGAGAUUGGCUCUUGGAUGAAUGAAGGCCAUAGAUCUAGAUUAGGGAUCUGAAAAAUCAAGGGUGGAGAUGUAGCCACCCUUCUACAAGCCUCCACUCAAUUAUAUAAGAGAGGCUUGGUUUUCCA
rnacentral:lncRNA from 1 species